CAAUAGCGUAUAUUAAAGUUGUUGCGGUUAAAAAGCUCGUAGUUGGAUUUCUGCUGAGGACGACCGGUCCGCCCUCCGGGUGAGCAUCUGGUUCGGCCUUGGCAUCUUCUUGGUGAACGUAUCUGCACUUGACUGUGUGGUGCGGUACCCAGGACUUUUACUUUGAGGAAAUUAGAGUGUUUCAAGCAGGCAUACGCCUUGAAUACAUUAGCAUGGAAUAAUGGAAUAGGACUUAGUCUCUUUGUUGGUUCGAGGGACUGGAGUAAUGAUUAAUAGGGAUAGUUGGGGGCAUUAGUAUUUAAUUGUCAGAGGUGAAAUUCUUGGAUUUAUGAAAGACUAACUACUGCGAAAGCAUUUGCCAAGGAUGUUUUCAUUAAUCAAGAACGAAAGUUAGGGGAUCGAAGAUGAUCAGAUACCAU
rnacentral:rRNA from 1 species